AUUGAACCCUGGCGGCAUGCUUUACACAUGCAAGUCGAACGGUAACAGGGAGCUUGCUCCGCUGACGAGUGGCGAACGGGUGAGUAAUAUAUCGGAACGUACCCAAGAGUGGGGGAUAACGUAGCGAGAGUUACGCUAAUACCGCAUACGAUCUAUGGAUGAAAGCAGGGGACCUUCGGGCCUUGUGCUCCUGGAGCGGCCGAUAUCUGAUUAGCUAGUUGGUGAGGUAAAGGCUCACCAAGGCGACGAUCAGUAGCUGGUCUGAGAGGACGACCAGCCACACUGGAACUGAGACACGGUCCAGACUCCUACGGGAGGCAGCAGUGGGGAAUUUUGGACAAUGGGCGCAAGCCUGAUCCAGCAAUGCCGCGUGAGUGAAGAAGGCCUUCGGGUUGUAAAGCUCUUUUGUCAGGGAAGAAACGGCUGUGGCUAAUAUCCACGGCUAAUGACGGUACCUGAAGAAUAAGCACCGGCUAACUACGUGCCAGCCGCCGCAGUAA
rnacentral:rRNA from 1 species